UGUCUUUUAUUUUUACGUAGAACUCAUAUCGAUCCGAUAUGCCGCGUCCGAGAAUGGAUUUUGCGACUAAUAAGUGGCGAGGCACCACGCGAGCAAGAAUGAACAGCCCUGGAGGUUAUGGGCACUGCUCAAUUGGCUCAUUCCUCGGUGCUUCUCGAAGAAAUUAUCCCGAAUUUGGUGUCCCCAAACUUGGAAGGCCUGGUCAAGGAGGAGUUGCUCAGUGAACUACUAGUUUGAGUUCCCUGAGACGGACACCACUGACAUCACCUACAGUGCUGAGGUACAGGCUUAAUGGCAGAUAUCAAUAGGAGAUGAUGGUACGCGUCACGUCUGUUUGAUUGGACAGCCACCAAGUUGACUUGGAUGUCAGCGCCUGUUGUCAUCAGAACCUGGUUCUUGUGCUGCCACAUCAUUUUUGGUGGUGGCGCUGUUGUCACCUCCCAACGCUUGCGCUCCCCGAGUUCCCAUUCAAGAUGGUGCUGCCACGGACUUUGGCUCGUGGGGGUGCCGUCGCUACUGACAAAGCCUGUGCUCCCCGUCGUCCCUGUUGAAAUGGUGGCUGGAACUUGAGAGGGUUUGCUGCCACAGCCGGAUCCAGUGUUACAUUCCUGUGGCUUUUUGGGUUGUUUCCCAAUUAUUGAAGGGAGUUGCAGGCUUAUCAUGGGCGACACAGUGCUUUGCUCGCACCUUCACGGAGUACAGCAAUGUGGGGAAGCAAGUCGAGGACAGCCUCUCUCGAUUUCUGUCCCGGGGGCGCUAUGCUCUUCCAGCUGACACCUUACAGACAUGUCAGGAAGCAAGGAAAGGUUAUUUUUUCACUCAUCGUUUACAUUUGGGUGAUUAACUUAGUCUUGAAAAAAAACACGUCAUUUUAAUGACAUUGUGAUAAAUAAAUUUUGGGUCUUUAAAUUGUC